rnacentral:rRNA from 1 species
GUAGUCCACGCCGUAAACGAUGGGCACUAGAUGCUUGGGGGAGCGACCCCCUGAGUGUCGCAGCUAACGCAUUAAGUGCCCCGCCUGGGGAGUACGGCCGCAAGGCUGAAACUCAAAGGAAUUGACGGGGGCCCGCACAAGCGGUGGAGCAUGUGGUUUAAUUCGACGCAACGCGAAGAACCUUACCUAGGCUUGACAUGCAGGAGAAACCUCUGAGAAACCAGAGGCCCUCUUCGGAGUUCCUGCACAGGUGCUGCAUGGCUGUCGUCAGCUCGUGUCGUGAGAUGUUGGGUUAAGUCCCGCAACGAGCGCAACCCCCGUUCUCAGUUACCAGCGCGUCAUGGCGGGGACUCUGGGAAGACUGCCGGUGCCAAACCGGA